GGCCUCUGCAGGUAACCCCUGUUUAGGUGCCCAGAGAGAAGAAAGAAGCCCCGUUCCUCUGCCUGCUCCUCUCAACUUUGAGGCUUGUAAUGUCAACAGCUGCCAAUUUAAGCCUGGGUCUGAGCCCAGCACUGACAAUGUGCUGGCUUGACAGGUGGGGGCUGACUAGACAGGUGAGGGCUGGCUGGACACGUGAGGGCUGACUGCACAGGUGAGAACUGGGUGGACAGGUGAGGACUGACUGCACAGGUGAGGGUUGGCUGGAGAGCUGAGGGCUGCUUGGACAGGUGAGGGCUGGCUGCACAGGUGAGGACUGGCUGGACAGGUGAGGGCUGACUGUACAGAUGAGCUCUGAAUGCAGAGAUAAGGACUAGCUGCACAGGUGAAGGCUGACUGGACAGAUGAGGGCUGGCUGGACAGGUGAGGGCUGGCUACACAGGUGAGGGCUGGCUACACAGGUGAGGGCUGGCUGCACAGGUGAGGUCUGGAUGGACAGGUGAGGGCUGACUGUACAGGUGAGGACUGGCUGCACAGGUGAGGACUGGCUGCACAGGUGAGGGCUGACUGGACAGAUGAGGACUGGCUGCACAGGUGAGGACUGGCUGCACAGGUGAAGGCUGACUGGACAGAUGAGGGCUGGCUGGACAGGUGAGGGCUGGCUACACAGGUGAGAACUGGCUGCACAGGUGUGGGUUGGCUGGACAGGUGAUGUCUGGCUGGACAGAUGAGGACUAGCUGCACAGGUGAGGACUAGCUGCACAGGUGAGGUCUGGCUGGACAGGUGAGGGCUGACUGUACAGAUGAGGUCUGACUGCACAGAUAAGGACUAGCUGCACAGGUGAGGGCUGACUGGACAGGUGAGGACUAGCUGCACAGGUGAGGUCUGGCUGGACAGGUGAGGGCUGGCUGGAGAGGUGAGGGCUGGCUGCACAGGUGAGGGUUGACUGUACAGAUGGGGUCUGACUGCACAGAUAAGGACUAGCUGUGCAGGCAAAGGCUGACUGGACAGGUGAGGGCUGACUGGACAGGUGAGGUCUGGCUGGACAGGUGAGGACUAGCUGCACAGGUGAGUUCUGGCUGGACAGGUGAGGGCUGACUGUACAGAUGAGGUCUGGCUGCACAGAUAAGGACUAGCUGCACAGGUGAGGGCUGACUGGACAGGUGAGGGCUGGCUGCACAGUGAGGUCUGGCUGGACAGCGAAGGCUGACUGGACAGGUGAGGGCUGGCUGGACAGGUGAGAUCUGGCCGGACAGGUGAGGACUAGCUGCACAGGUGAGGACUAGCUGCACAGGUGAGUUCUGGCUGGACAGGUGAGGGCUGACUGUACAGAUGAGGUCUGACUGCACAGAUAAGGACUAGCUGCACAGGUGAGGGCUGACUGGACAGGUGAGGGCUGGCUGCACAGGUGAGGGCUGGCUGGACAGGUGAGGGCUCACUGUACAGAUGAGGUCUGACUGCAUAGAUAAGGACUAGCUGCACAGGUGAGGGCUGACUGGACAGGUGAGGGCUGGCUGGACAGGUGAGGGCUGGCUGCACAGGUGAGGGCUGACUGGACAGGUGAGGGCUGGCUGGACAGGUGAGGGCUGGCUGCACAGGUGAGGGCUGGCUGCACAGAUAAGGACUAGAUGCAUAGAUGAGGGCUGACUGGACAGGUAAGGGCUGGCUGCACAGAUAAGGAGAGAUGCACAGGUGAGGGCUGACUAGACAGGUGAGGGAUGGCUGGACAGGUGAGGGCUGGUUGCACAGGUGAGGGCUGGCUGGACAGGUGAGGUCUGGCUGCACAGGUGAGGGCUGG
rnacentral:lncRNA from 1 species